rnacentral:rRNA from 1 species
AGUGAACGCUGGCGGCGUGCUUAACACAUGCAAGUCGAACGAGAACGGAAUAUAGCUUGCUAUAUUUGUCAGCUAAGUGGCGCACGGGUGAGUAAUGUAUAGAUAACCUGCCCUCAAGGAAGGAAUAACAGUUGGAAACGACUGCUAAUGCCCUAUAUGCCUUUAAUACAUAAGUAUGCAAGGGAAACGCUUUAGUGCUUAAGGAUGGGUCUGUAUGGUAUCAGCUUGCUGGUGAGGUAAUGGCUCACCAAGGCUAUGACGCCUAACUGGUUUGAGAGGAUGAUCAGUCACACUGGAACUGAGACACGGUCCAGACUCCUACGGGAGGCAGCAGUGGGGAAUAUUGCACAAUGGACGAAAGUCUGAUGCAGCAACGCCGCGUGGAGGAUGACACAUUUCGGUGAGUAAACUCCCUUUAUAUAGGAAGAUAAUGACGGUACUAUAUGAAUAAGCACCUGCUAACUCCGUGCCAGCCGCCGUAGUAACAC